CUUGGUGUUACUGCGAAGGGGGGACGGAGACGGCUAUGUCAUCCGGGCGACGGUUGUCCCGGUUUAAGCGUGCAGGUGGGUGGACCAGGCAAAUCCGGUCCGCUGUCAACACUGAGGCGUGAUGACGAGGCACUACGGUGCUGAAGUGACAGAUGCCCUGCUUCCAGGAAAAGCCUCUAAGCAUCAGGUAACAUUGAAUCGUACCCCAAACCGACACAGGUGGUCAGGUAGAGAAUACUCAGGCGCUUGAGAGAACUCGGGUGAAGGAACUAGGCAAAAUGGUGCCGUAACUUCGGGAGAAGGCACGCUGGGCGCGGUGAAGUCCCUCGCGGAUGGAGCUGAGCCCAGUCGCAGAUACCAGCUGGCUGCAACUGUUUAAUAAAAACACAGCACUGUGCAAACACGAAAGUGGACGUAUACGGUGUGACGCCUGCCCGGUGCCGGAAGGUUAAUUGAUGGGGUUAUCCGCAAGGAGAAGCUCUUGAUCGAAGCCCCGGUAAACGGCGGCCGUAACUAUAACGGUCCUAAGGUAGCGAAAUUCCUUGUCGGGUAAGUUCCGACCUGCACGAAUGGCGUAAUGAUGGCCAGGCUGUCUCCACCCGAGACUCAGUGAAAUUGAACUCGCUGUGAAGAUGCAGUGUACCCGCGGCAAGACGGAAAGACCCCGUGAACCUUUACUAUAGCUUGACACUGAACCUUGAACCUUGAUGUGUAGGAUAGGUGGGAGGCUGAGAAAUGUGGACGCCAGUCUGCAUGGAGCCAACCUUGAAAUACCACCCUUUAAUGUUUGAUGUUCUAACGUGGACCCGUAAUCCGGGUUGCGGACAGUGUCUGGUGGGUAGUUUGACUGGGGCGGUCUCCUCCCAAAGAGUAACGGAGGAGCACGAAGGUUAGCUAAUCCUGGUCGGACAUCAGGAGGUUAGUGCAAAGGCAUAAGCUAGCUUGACUGCGAGAGUGACGGCUCGAGCAGGUGCGAAAGCAGGUCUUAGUGAUCCGGUGGUUCUGAAUGGAAGGGCCAUCGCUCAACGGAUAAAAGGUACUCCGGGGAUAACAGGCUGAUACCGCCCAAGAGUUCAUAUCGACGGCGGUGUUUGGCACCUCGAUGUCGGCUCAUCACAUCCUGGGGCUGAAGUAGGUCCCAAGGGUAUGGCUGUUCGCCAUUUAAAGUGGUACGCGAGCUGGGUUUAGAACGUCGUGAGACAGUUCGGUCCCUAUCUGCCGUGGGCGUUGGAAGAUUGAGGGGGGUUGCUCCUAGUACGAGAGGACCGGAGUGAACGCACCGCUGGUGUUCGGGUUGUCAUGCCAAUGGCACUGCCCGGUAGCUACGUGCGGAAGAGAUAACCGCUGAAAGCAUCUAAGCGGGAAACUUGCCCCGAGAUGAGUCUUCCCUGGGCCCUUGAGGCCCCUGAAGGGACGUUUAAGACUAAGACGUUGAUAGGCUGGGUGUGUAAGCGUAGCGAUACGUUGAGCUAACCAGUACUAAUGACCCGAGAGGCUUAACC
rnacentral:rRNA from 1 species